UCCCCGGUGGCUCAAUGGUAAAGAAUCUAUCUGCAAUGCAGGAGACACAGGUUUGAUCCCUGGCUUGGGAA
rnacentral:tRNA from 1 species